rnacentral:rRNA from 1 species
CAGCAGCCGCGGGAAUACGUAGGGUGCGAGCGUUAAUCGGAAUUACUGGGCGUAAAGCGUGUGUAGGUGGUUGUUUAAGUCUGUCGUGAAAGCCCUGGGCUCAACCUGGGAAUUGCGAUGGAUACUGGGCGACUAGAGUGCGGUAGAGGAUAGUGGAAUUUCCGGUGUAGCAGUGAAAUGCGUAGAGAUCGGAAGGAACAUCUGUGGCGAAGGCGACUAUCUGGGCCAACACUGACACUGAGACACGAAAGCGUGGGGAGCAAGCAGGAUUAGAUACCCGCGUAGUCCCUGUCUCUUAUAA